AGCAUAUCAAUAAGCGGAGGAAAAGAAACCAACAGGGAUUGCCCUAGUAACGGCGAGUGAAGCGGCAACAGCUCAAAUUUGAAAUCUGGCCCUUGUGGUCCGAGUUGUAAUUUGUAGAGGAUGCUUUUGGUGAGGUGCCUUCCGAGUGCCCUGGAACGGGACGCCAUAGAGGGUGAGAGCCCCGUCUGGUUGGACACCGAGCCUCUGUAAAGCUCCUUCGACGAGUCGAGUAGUUUGGGAAUGCUGCUCUAAAUGGGAGGUAUAUGUCUUCUAAAGCUAAAUAUUGGCCAGAGACCGAUAGCGCACAAGUAGAGUGAUCGAAAGAUGAAAAGCACUUUGAAAAGAGGGUUAAAAAGUACGUGAAAUUGUUGAAAGGGAAGCGCUUGUGACCAGACUUGGGCCCGGUCAAUCAUCCAGGGUUCUCCCUGGUGCACUUGGCCGGCCCAGGCCAGCAUCAGUUUGUCGCGGGGGAUAAAGACGUCGGGAAUGUGGCUCCUCCGGGAGUGUUAUAGCCCUUCGUGCAAUACCCUGCUUCGGACUGAGGUUCGCGCAUCUGCAAGGAUGCUGGCGUAAUGGUCAUCAGCGACCCGUCUUGAAACACGGACCAAGGAGUCGUCUUCGUAUGCGAGUGUUCGGGUGUCAAACCCCUACGCGUAAUGAAAGUGAACGCAGGUGAGAGCUUCGGCGCAUCAUCGACCGAUCCUGAUGUUCUCGGAUGGAUUUGAGUAAGAGCAUACGGGGCCGGACCCGAAAGAAGGUGAACUAUGCCUGUAUAGGGUGAAGCCAGAGGAAACUCUGGUGGAGGCUCGCAGCGGUUCUGACGUGCAAAUCGAUCGUCAAAUAUGGGCAUGGGGGCGAAAGACUAAUCGAACCUUCUAGUAGCUGGUUUCCGCCGAAG
rnacentral:rRNA from 1 species